rnacentral:rRNA from 1 species
UAGGGAAUCUUCGGCAAUGGACGAAAGUCUGACCGAGCAACGCCGCGUGAGUGAUGAAGGUUUUCGGAUCGUAAAACUCUGUUGCCAGGGAAGAAUGACGAGGCGAGUAACUGCGCUUCGUGUGACGGUACCUGAGAAGAAAGCCCCGGCUAACUACGUGCCAGCAGCCGCGGUAAUACGUAGGGGGCAAGCGUUGUCCGGAAUUAUUGGGCGUAAAGCGCGCGCAGGCGGUCAAUUAAGUCUGGUGUAUAAACCAAGGGCUCAACCUUUGGACGCAUUGGAAACUGGUUGACUGGAGUGUAGGAGAGGAAAGUGGAAUUCCACGUGUAGCGGUGAAAUGCGUAGAGAUGUGGAGGAACACCAGUGGCGAAGGCGACUUUCUGGCCUAUAACUGACGCUGAGGCGCGAAAGCGUGGGGAGCAAACAG